AACUGUCAGUGUUGAAAUUUCUUCUUCGCACAUCCACUAUCUGAGUAACGGGUAUCAGAUAGUCGGGGAACUCGACUAUAGCGUUCUCUCUCGUUUUUUUUUUAUUUUUCUUAUUUGGAUUAGAGUAGUUUCCGUCAAGUGCACUUAUCUUUUUAUAUGAAUGGUGGGCAACGGAGAUUAUAGGGAUAGGAAAACCCCGACCCCAAUACCGGCGAGCUGAGCGCAGAGCGCAGCAUAGUGCACCCCGAUUCCCUCUCCAGUCGAGGCUGUAACCGAAAACAAGCAUCAGCCGUACUAUAUACAAUAUAUGUAGUCAUACAAAACAAAGGACGUGCGAUUCGCCAUCAAGAACUUGGUCAAUCUAACCUAUAACUUCUGGUCUUCAUCCUGUUUGGAUGAUCCCGAGAUCAUACAAAGUCAAUGGAAGAUAAGCUCUGGUAAUAGCUCUCUUCAAGAGUACAGAUUUUGUAGUUACUAGAUUACAAAUCGGUUGUCAGCUUGCGGAAUAGGAGUUCUCACUUAAAAUAAAACAUGGAGAGAACUGCCCAAGAAGACCAAACGAUUUUAUUCGUUUUUUUCUGUUAUUUCAAGUAUCUGAGUGAUGGAAUGAGCAAUUGCAAUUCAAUAAUUUUGAUUGACCUCGCCAGAUAAGAAUAAUUAACAAGUGUUUUAUAUGCUUUAUUGCCCCAUACCUGAAACAUACGGUCUUAGAGAUUAUCUUUGAGAUUCGACUAGUAUAACGCAUCAAAGCCCAUAAUCUAUAUAAUUUUGAGUAGCGUUAGAAGUGAAUGGGGGUAUCUUGAUAUGGAAUUUGGCAUUUAUGGAACGGACAAAUUUAAUAGAACUGAUUUUAUAAACCAGAAAAGAGAUUAGGAUCAACAAGAUGGAAAGCAACGAUAAUAGUAAUGGAACUAUUUUAAAUAAUCCCGAAUACUGUCGAAUUUGUCAUGCAAGGCUCGAAAAAAGCCAGUUGGUUGCAACAACCCCGUGUAAACAUUCCUUUCACCAUGCUUGCUUAACAAAUAGGCUUAUAAGCUCUUCAGCUUGUCCUACUUGCCGCGCUCAUUGUACUACAGAACUACUUACGAUCGUUGAUGUAGAUCUUCAGACCGAAUUGGCUAAUGCAGAACAGGCUGAACGAGCAGUCGUAGCAAAUGUACCUUCUGAGGCAGGAGGCAUGGAGAACGUCUUUCAUUAGAAGGAACUUUGCCAAGACGAGGCAGAGGCCGAGGACGAGGUAAUAGUACAAGACGGGGUGUAACUACUAGAUCCAUGCAAAGAAAUCUGGUUGAACCUUUAGAAAAAUCUAGCCGUAUACAAGAACCAUACAAUGGCAAGGAUAAACAGGAAAUGAUUAACGUUAUUAAAUCAGCCGUAGGGUCGCAACAAAAAACACUGUUAGAGAAGCUUACAGAACACAUUAAUGCGAUCCUGCACGUCCUGCAAAGGCAAUGGGGAUGCAAUCGAGUAGCGCCUCGACUGGUGCUAGGCGUCAGCACUCAUCCAAUGAUCAGGCUAUCACAGAACUACAGGAAAAUGAAUUAAGGAACUCUACACAGAGGUCGUCAACUAGUAUUUCUUCUAAUAAGGUUGGACAAGUUAUUCACGAAACUUAAAUUUGAGCAAGGAAAGCAAGGAAACUCCAUCGGCCGCAGAAUUUAUUUACCGAGUUUGCUCAUUGACAGCUCGAACUUUAGGUAACGAUUUUUAACUAGUAUGCGAUCAUUUGCACUUAAUGUUAUCUGGAAGGGCAAGGGAUUGAUUAUGGCAAUUUCUAAGAAAGCACGAGGAGCUCACUUGGAAAACCUUCUGUUUUGCUUUUAGGGACAAGUAUGAUGAUGCAGACGAUGAUGUUGACUUAUGGAGGAGAAUUUCUAAACGUAAACAAGGAGAGAAUGAAUCUUUCGAUUCGUAUCAAGUUAGUAUGGAAGAACUAGUAAAUCGACUAGUGAGAUCUUUACCCGAACCGGACUUGGUUAAGCUGUUGAUAGAUAAUUCGAAAAGUUCCCUUCGACUUGAAUUACUUCACUUAAACAUAGUCUCAGUUAAAAAAUUGUACGCAGAAGUUAAGAAGCACGAAAAAUUCUAUAACGAAGUUCGACAUAAUUCAACUAAAACCUCAUUCGCAUAUCGACGUUAUAUUUCUGAUGUUAGUCAGGAACCAGAUAAUGUCGGAGAUUCGCAACCAAUAGUAUUAGCGAUCAAUCGUUUUAAAAUAACUUGCUGGAAUUGUGAAAAAGUACGACACCGUUGGGACGAUUGUUUUGACGUCAAGACCAUAUGUUGCUAUGGGUGUGGCACCAAGAAUAUCUAUAAGCCGAAUUGUCCGAAAUGUAAUCCUUUGGAAAACCGAUCGAAGGAUGUGUCGACCAGUCCACAGUAGGCACAUCCGAACACCAGCCGACGGCGACAUUUCUAUUGGAAGAAUCUUUUCAGGAAGUCGGACACGAAUCAAAAAACGUAAACACUUCGUCUUUACCUUUUCAUGAAAGAUGGUCUAAUUACAUGAAAGUUAGAAAUAAGAUAUUUGGAAAUAUAAGCAACAUUAUUAGAGCAGUUAAACCUAGAAGAUCCACUCUUCGUCUACGAAACUUCUGGAAGAAAAUAGUUCAUACUCGUAGGCUUUUGAUUUCUUCAUUACAGAGGAAGGGAGAUAAUCGCCUCUACACUUCCGUGGUCAUCAACGACAAGGAGUACAACGCCUUGUUAGACUCAGGAGCCACCGUUAGUUGCGUAGGUCAUGAUGCAGCUCAAUCGCUCUUGAGGUUCGUUAGUGUUCCGGAAAAGUUAAGCAAGUGGCAACCUUUGUCCCGUUAAAGGCAUAUUAACAUACAUAUCGGAAUAUUACCGAAAACAUAGACUUUUUCAUUAUACCCGACUUAAGUCAAGAAGUUUAUCUUGGAAUAGACUUCUUUAGAAAGUUUAAACUUGCAGAUAAGCUUGAGGAAAGCAUCAGUGAGUUAGAUUGUGGUCCUGCAGACGAAGAUAUGGAAUCACCAAAGUUACACAACCUUUCCAUUAGUGAUCAACGUAAGCUAAAAGCCGUGAUUGACAUUUUUCCCUCUUAUGAAAAAGAAGGCUUGGGGCGAACAAACCUCAUUUCUCACUCGAUUGACGUCGGCGAGGCUAAGGCUGUUAAACAAAGGCACUGGUCGAUCUCACCUGCACGGGAGAAAGUUAUGUUCGCCGAGAUAGACAAUAUGUUAGCUCUUGAUAUAAUCAAACCUUCUAGCAGUCCCUGGAGCAGCAAUUGCGUGAUUGUGCAAAAAGGAAGCAAGGUCGGUUAUGUUUGGACUCCCACGAAGUCAAUAAACAUACUAGGAAGGACGCGUACCCUUUACCUCAAAUUGAUGGGAUCCUGAGUCACCUCCUGCACGAUUUAUAACCGGUCUCGACAUGAAACAUGCUUUUUGGCAAAUAAUGUUAGAUGAGAAGUCGCCUCUUUACCAUUACAAAGUCAUGCCAUUUGGUCUUACUAACGCUCCACAGACAUUAUGCCGUCUAAUGUAUCAUGUCAUGCCCAUCUUCGCAACCGAGUUUUUGUAUACCUUGAUGACUUAUUAGACCUUUCCGAUGAUUUUGAUUCGCACUUGGUUAUUUUACAAGAAAUAGCACUUUAUUUACGGAAGGCCAAUAUAACCAUUAAUGUAGGAAAAUCUAAGUUCUCCAUGAGAGAAAUAAAAUACCUUGGACCGAUCCAUCAAAAAUUGAGGCUAUUAAUGAGUUUCCACUUUCAACAACAGUGAAACAAGUGCGUCGGUUCUUAGGCCUUUCCGGAUGGUAUCGGAGAUUUGUAGAUAUCUAUGCCACCAUAAGAUAUCCCCUGACAGAGAUGAUUAAAAAGAAUAAAACCUCGUUAGCCUGGGAUAGCGCUGCUAAAAACGCCUUUGAGGAAUUGAAACAUAGAUUAACAACCGCUCCUAUUCUGGUGACACCAAAUUUCUCAAAGCCAUUCGUUUUGUUGUGUGAUGCUAGUUCGUUCGGAUUGGGUUGCGUCCUCGCCCAACCAAAUGGGGAAGGGUGUGAGUGGCCAAUUGGGUACAUGUCAUGCAAGUUAUCCAAAGCACAACGAAAUUAUUCCGUACCGAACUGGAAUGUUUGGCUGUUAUUAAGGGAAUAAAGAAAUUUCGUGCGUACAUCGACGGUCAAGACUUCUUGGUAAUUACGGACCACGCAACACUUCAGUGGCUCAUGCGUCAAAAAGAUUUGUCAGGAAGGCUUGCCCGAUGGGCUAUCCAAUUGCAAGGUUUUGACUUUCGCAUAGAACAUUGCAAGGGUUCUCAAAAUGUCGUUGCUGACACGCUUUCAAGGCAGAACGAGUCAGUAGAGGAAUUCGAAGAAUUAGGUCCAAUUAUCGAUUUGGAAUCGGAAGAGUUUCGCUCGGUUGAGUAUUUAGACCUGAUUGAUCGCAUUCGUGCAAAUCAAGAAAAACUCUCUGAUCUUAAAGAGACAGACGGAUAUGUCUAUAUCUAUCUGACGAUAGUUUAUGCAAACUUUGGGUACCUUCAAAGUUAACCCAAAGUGUUCUUCAACAAGCUCAUGAUCCUCCAAGCGCAUCGCAUUGUGGCACAGGAAAAAUGAUUGAACAGCUUAAAAGGUAUCUGUUUUGGCUAAAAAUGCUUAUACAAAUUCGAGAGUAUGUAAAAGCCUGUUUGACCUGUAAGCAAACUAAGAGUCCGAACGUAGUUCUUUGUCCCCCGAUUGGAAAUCCUAGGCAAACAGAGAGAGAGACUGUAGAUGGAUUUGCUAGGUCCAUACCCUCGUUCGAAAUCAGGAAAUAUAGGAUUGUUGAUCAUAGUGGAUCAAUUUACUAGUUCCAUUUCCUCUGUCCCUUGAAAAAAUUUACAUCCGCCAAGAUAUGUGAAUACCUGAAGAAUUCUAUUUUGUUUACAUUCGGAGUACCAGAGUCAAUUUUAUCUGACAAUGAAUCUGAAUUUUGGUCCGGAUUUUUUGAAUCGUUUCUAACCCGAUAUUCAAUCAAGCAUAUAUGCACUGCUGUUUACUCUUCACAAAUUAACGCAAGCGAGAGAUUAAAUCGUUCGGUUUUAGCGGCGAUUUGGGCUUACGUGGGUACAGAUCAUACAACCUGGGAUCCGAAUUUGAAUGAGAUUAAUGGUGCUCUUCGAUCUAGUUUACACACCACGACGUGAUAUUCACUGUACUUUAUAACGUUCGGUCAAAACAUGAUCCUGAAUGGCAAGGAUUAGGAACUGCUCAGAAAACUUAAUAUGAUUUCAGAUAAUGCGAGAAUACGGUAUCCCAAUGCGUUACAAAUGGCUAGAUACGCAGCACAGCUGAACACUGCCAAAUCUCACGAAGCCAACGCUAAAAUAUAUAACUUAAGAAGUCGAAAAAUCCAAUUUCAAGUCGGAGAUUAGGUUUGUGUUCGAAACUUUGCCCAAAGCAACGCUAGCAAACAAUUCAGCCAUAAACUAGCUAAAGUGUUCGUCCCCGCAACCAUAGCUAGAAAACUUGGUCCAGUAUAUCCCCUCUGGUGAAAAUGGAAAGAAAAUUGGCGUAUAUCACGCAAAAGAUACACGUGCGGUCUUUAAAUAAAAGAAAGUGUAGAAAACCGGAUUCCUAAAACUUCUUCGAUUCCUAAACUUUGUAAGAAGCGUACAUUGUAUUUGCAAAAGCAGGUAAAUAAGAACACGGAACACCGUUAUUUUGUGCAGAAACUGACGACGAGUUCUUUACAGAAUUGAGGUACUGUUGGCCGGCAAAGUUACGCGCCUAUGUGUAGCCAAGCCACGCGGUGUACAUAUAUAUUGGCGAGGGUGCGCAUUCGCUACACACAUAUGGAUACACAUAUUUAUGCAUAGACGCUGCCGUUUUUUAUCUGUUAUUUCAAGUAUCUGAGUGAUGGAAUGAGCAAUUGCAAUUCAAUAAUUUUGAUUGACCUCGCCAGAUAAGAAUAAUUAACAAGUUAUUUAUAUGCUUUAUUGCCCCAUACCUGAAACAUACGGUCUUAGAGAUUAUCUUUGAGAUUCGACUAGUAUAACGCAUCAAAGCCCAUAAUCUAUAUAAUUUUGAGUAGCGUUAGAAGUGAAUGGGGGUAUCUUGAUAUGGAAUUUGGCAUUUAUGGAACGGACAAAUUUAAUAGAACUGAUUUUAUAAACCAGAAAAGAGAUUAGGAUCAACAAGAUGGAAAGCAACGAUAAUAGUAAUGGAACUAUUUUAAAUAAUCCCGAAUACUGUCGAAUUUGUCAUGCAAGGCUCGAAAAAAGCCAGUUGGUUGCAACAACCCCGUGUAAACAUUCCUUUCACCAUGCUUGCUUAACAAAUAGGCUUAUAAGCUCUUCAGCUUGUCCUACUUGCCGCGCUCAUUGUACUACAGAACUACUUACGAUCGUUGAUGUAGAUCUUCAGACCGAAUUGGCUAAUGCAGAACAGGCUGAACGAGCAGUCGUAGCAAAUGUACCUUCUGAGGCAGGAGGCAUGGAGAACGUCUUUCAUUAGAAGGAACUUUGCCAAGACGAGGCAGAGGCCGAGGACGAGGUAAUAGUACAAGACGGGGUGUAACUACUAGAUCCAUGCAAAGAAAUCUGGUUGAACCUUUAGAAAAAUCUAGCCGUAUACAAGAACCAUACAAUGGCAAGGAUAAACAGGAAAUGAUUAACGUUAUUAAAUCAGCCGUAGGGUCGCAACAAAAAACACUGUUAGAGAAGCUUACAGAACACAUUAAUGCGAUCCUGCACGUCCUGCAAAGGCAAUGGGGAUGCAAUCGAGUAGCGCCUCGACUGGUGCUAGGCGUCAGCACUCAUCCAAUGAUCAGGCUAUCACAGAACUACAGGAAAAUGAAUUAAGGAACUCUACACAGAGGUCGUCAACUAGUAUUUCUUCUAAUAAGGUUGGACAAGUUAUUCACGAAACUUAAAUUUGAGCAAGGAAAGCAAGGAAACUCCAUCGGCCGCAGAAUUUAUUUACCGAGUUUGCUCAUUGACAGCUCGAACUUUAGGUAACGAUUUUUAACUAGUAUGCGAUCAUUUGCACUUAAUGUUAUCUGGAAGGGCAAGGGAUUGAUUAUGGCAAUUUCUAAGAAAGCACGAGGAGCUCACUUGGAAAACCUUCUGUUUUGCUUUUAGGGACAAGUAUGAUGAUGCAGACGAUGAUGUUGACUUAUGGAGGAGAAUUUCUAAACGUAAACAAGGAGAGAAUGAAUCUUUCGAUUCGUAUCAAGUUAGUAUGGAAGAACUAGUAAAUCGACUAGUGAGAUCUUUACCCGAACCGGACUUGGUUAAGCUGUUGAUAGAUAAUUCGAAAAGUUCCCUUCGACUUGAAUUACUUCACUUAAACAUAGUCUCAGUUAAAAAAUUGUACGCAGAAGUUAAGAAGCACGAAAAAUUCUAUAACGAAGUUCGACAUAAUUCAACUAAAACCUCAUUCGCAUAUCGACGUUAUAUUUCUGAUGUUAGUCAGGAACCAGAUAAUGUCGGAGAUUCGCAACCAAUAGUAUUAGCGAUCAAUCGUUUUAAAAUAACUUGCUGGAAUUGUGAAAAAGUACGACACCGUUGGGACGAUUGUUUUGACGUCAAGACCAUAUGUUGCUAUGGGUGUGGCACCAAGAAUAUCUAUAAGCCGAAUUGUCCGAAAUGUAAUCCUUUGGAAAACCGAUCGAAGGAUGUGUCGACCAGUCCACAGUAGGCACAUCCGAACACCAGCCGACGGCGACAUUUCUAUUGGAAGAAUCUUUUCAGGAAGUCGGACACGAAUCAAAAAACGUAAACACUUCGUCUUUACCUUUUCAUGAAAGAUGGUCUAAUUACAUGAAAGUUAGAAAUAAGAUAUUUGGAAAUAUAAGCAACAUUAUUAGAGCAGUUAAACCUAGAAGAUCCACUCUUCGUCUACGAAACUUCUGGAAGAAAAUAGUUCAUACUCGUAGGCUUUUGAUUUCUUCAUUACAGAGGAAGGGAGAUAAUCGCCUCUACACUUCCGUGGUCAUCAACGACAAGGAGUACAACGCCUUGUUAGACUCAGGAGCCACCGUUAGUUGCGUAGGUCAUGAUGCAGCUCAAUCGCUCUUGAGGUUCGUUAGUGUUCCGGAAAAGUUAAGCAAGUGGCAACCUUUGUCCCGUUAAAGGCAUAUUAACAUACAUAUCGGAAUAUUACCGAAAACAUAGACUUUUUCAUUAUACCCGACUUAAGUCAAGAAGUUUAUCUUGGAAUAGACUUCUUUAGAAAGUUUAAACUUGCAGAUAAGCUUGAGGAAAGCAUCAGUGAGUUAGAUUGUGGUCCUGCAGACGAAGAUAUGGAAUCACCAAAGUUACACAACCUUUCCAUUAGUGAUCAACGUAAGCUAAAAGCCGUGAUUGACAUUUUUCCCUCUUAUGAAAAAGAAGGCUUGGGGCGAACAAACCUCAUUUCUCACUCGAUUGACGUCGGCGAGGCUAAGGCUGUUAAACAAAGGCACUGGUCGAUCUCACCUGCACGGGAGAAAGUUAUGUUCGCCGAGAUAGACAAUAUGUUAGCUCUUGAUAUAAUCAAACCUUCUAGCAGUCCCUGGAGCAGCAAUUGCGUGAUUGUGCAAAAAGGAAGCAAGGUCGGUUAUGUUUGGACUCCCACGAAGUCAAUAAACAUACUAGGAAGGACGCGUACCCUUUACCUCAAAUUGAUGGGAUCCUGAGUCGCUUACCUCCUGCACGAUUUAUAACCGGUCUCGACAUGAAACAUGCUUUUUGGCAAAUAAUGUUAGAUGAGAAGUCGCCUCUUUACCAUUACAAAGUCAUGCCAUUUGGUCUUACUAACGCUCCACAGACAUUAUGCCGUCUAAUGUAUCAUGUCAUGCCCAUCUUCGCAACCGAGUUUUUGUAUACCUUGAUGACUUAUUAGACCUUUCCGAUGAUUUUGAUUCGCACUUGGUUAUUUUACAAGAAAUAGCACUUUAUUUACGGAAGGCCAAUAUAACCAUUAAUGUAGGAAAAUCUAAGUUCUCCAUGAGAGAAAUAAAAUACCUUGGACCGAUCCAUCAAAAAUUCAGGCUAUUAAUGAGUUUCCACUUUCAACAACAGUGAAACAAGUGCGUCGGUUCUUAGGCCUUUCCGGAUGGUAUCGGAGAUUUGUAGAUAUCUAUGCCACCAUAAGAUAUCCCCUGACAGAGAUGAUUAAAAAGAAUAAAACCUCGUUAGCCUGGGAUAGCGCUGCUAAAAACGCCUUUGAGGAAUUGAAACAUAGAUUAACAACCGCUCCUAUUCUGGUGACACCAAAUUUCUCAAAGCCAUUCGUUUUGUUGUGUGAUGCUAGUUCGUUCGGAUUGGGUUGCGUCCUCGCCCAACCAAAUGGGGAAGGGUGUGAGUGGCCAAUUGGGUACAUGUCAUGCAAGUUAUCCAAAGCACAACGAAAUUAUUCCGUACCGAACUGGAAUGUUUGGCUGUUAUUAAGGGAAUAAAGAAAUUUCGUGCGUACAUCGACGGUCAAGACUUCUUGGUAAUUACGGACCACGCAACACUUCAGUGGCUCAUGCGUCAAAAAGAUUUGUCAGGAAGGCUUGCCCGAUGGGCUAUCCAAUUGCAAGGUUUUGACUUUCGCAUAGAACAUUGCAAGGGUUCUCAAAAUGUCGUUGCUGACACGCUUUCAAGGCAGAACGAGUCAGUAGAGGAAUUCGAAGAAUUAGAUCCAAUUAUCGAUUUGGAAUCGGAAGAGUUUCGCUCGGUUGAGUAUUUAGACCUGAUUGAUCGCAUUCGUGCAAAUCAAGAAAAACUCUCUGAUCUUAAAGAGACAGACGGAUAUGUCUAUAUCUAUCUGACGAUAGUUUAUGCAAACUUUGGGUACCUUCAAAGUUAACCCAAAGUGUUCUUCAACAAGCUCAUGAUCCUCCAAGCGCAUCGCAUUGUGGCACAGGAAAAAUGAUUGAACAGCUUAAAAGGUAUCUGUUUUGGCUAAAAAUGCUUAUACAAAUUCGAGAGUAUGUAAAAGCCUGUUUGACCUGUAAGCAAACUAAGAGUCCGAACGUAGUUCUUUGUCCCCCGAUUGGAAAUCCUAGGCAAACAGAGAGAGAGACUGUAGAUGGAUUUGCUAGGUCCAUACCCUCGUUCGAAAUCAGGAAAUAUAGGAUUGUUGAUCAUAGUGGAUCAAUUUACUAGUUCCAUUUCCUCUGUCCCUUGAAAAAAUUUACAUCCGCCAAGAUAUGUGAAUACCUGAAGAAUUCAAUUUUGUUUACAUUCGGAGUACCAGAGUCAAUUUUAUCUGACAAUGAAUCUGAAUUUUGGUCCGGAUUUUUUGAAUCGUUUCUAACCCGAUAUUCAAUCAAGCAUAUAUGCAUUGCUGUUUACUCUUCACAAAUUAACGCAAGCGAGAGAUUAAAUCGUUCGGUUUUAGCGGCGAUUUGGGCUUACGUGGGUACAGAUCAUACAACCUGGGAUCCGAAUUUGAAUGAGAUUAAUGGUGCUCUUCGAUCUAGUUUACACACCACGACGUGAUAUUCACUGUACUUUAUAACGUUCGGUCAAAACAUGAUCCUGAAUGGCAAGGAUUAGGAACUGCUCAGAAAACUUAAUAUGAUUUCAGAUAAUGCGAGAAUACGGUAUCCCAAUGCGUUACAAAUGGCUAGAUACGCAGCACAGCUGAACACUGCCAAAUCUCACGAAGCCAACGCUAAAAUAUAUAACUUAAGAAGUCGAAAAAUCCAAUUUCAAGUCGGAGAUUAGGUUUGUGUUCGAAACUUUGCCCAAAGCAACGCUAGCAAACAAUUCAGCCAUAAACUAGCUAAAGUGUUCGUCCCCGCAACCAUAGCUAGAAAACUUGGUCCAGUAUAUCCCCUCUGGUGAAAAUGGAAAGAAAAUUGGCGUAUAUCACGCAAAAGAUACACGUGCGGUCUUUAAAUAAAAGAAAGUGUAGAAAACCGGAUUCCUAAAACUUCUUCGAUUCCUAAACUUUGUAAGAAGCGUACAUUGUAUUUGCAAAAGCAGGUAAAUAAGAACACGGAACACCGUUAUUUUGUGCAGAAACUGACGACGAGUUCUUUACAGAAUUGAGGUACUGUUGGCCGGCAAAGUUACGCGCCUAUGUGUAGCCAAGCCACGCGGUGUACAUAUAUAUUGGCGAGGGUGCGCAUUCGCUACACACAUAUGGAUACACAUAUUUAUGCAUAGACGCUGCCGUUUUUUAUCUGUUAUUUCAAGUAUCUGAGUGAUGGAAUGAGCAAUUGCAAUUCAAUAAUUUUGAUUGACCUCGCCAGAUAAGAAUAAUUAACAAGUUAUUUAUAUGCUUUAUUGCCCCAUACCUGAAACAUACGGUCUUAGAGAUUAUCUUUGAGAUUCGACUAGUAUAACGCAUCAAAGCCCAUAAUCUAUAUAAUUUUGAGUAGCGUUAGAAGUGAAUGGGGGUAUCUUGAUAUGGAAUUUGGCAUUUAUGGAACGGACAAAUUUAAUAGAACUGAUUUUAUAAACCAGAAAAGAGAUUAGGAUCAACAAGAUGGAAAGCAACGAUAAUAGUAAUGGAACUAUUUUAAAUAAUCCCGAAUACUGUCGAAUUUGUCAUGCAAGGCUCGAAAAAAGCCAGUUGGUUGCAACAACCCCGUGUAAACAUUCCUUUCACCAUGCUUGCUUAACAAAUAGGCUUAUAAGCUCUUCAGCUUGUCCUACUUGCCGCGCUCAUUGUACUACAGAACUACUUACGAUCGUUGAUGUAGAUCUUCAGACCGAAUUGGCUAAUGCAGAACAGGCUGAACGAGCAGUCGUAGCAAAUGUACCUUCUGAGGCAGGAGGCAUGGAGAACGUCUUUCAUUAGAAGGAACUUUGCCAAGACGAGGCAGAGGCCGAGGACGAGGUAAUAGUACAAGACGGGGUGUAACUACUAGAUCCAUGCAAAGAAAUCUGGUUGAACCUUUAGAAAAAUCUAGCCGUAUACAAGAACCAUACAAUGGCAAGGAUAAACAGGAAAUGAUUAACGUUAUUAAAUCAGCCGUAGGGUCGCAACAAAAAACACUGUUAGAGAAGCUUACAGAACACAUUAAUGCGAUCCUGCACGUCCUGCAAAGGCAAUGGGGAUGCAAUCGAGUAGCGCCUCGACUGGUGCUAGGCGUCAGCACUCAUCCAAUGAUCAGGCUAUCACAGAACUACAGGAAAAUGAAUUAAGGAACUCUACACAGAGGUCGUCAACUAGUAUUUCUUCUAAUAAGGUUGGACAAGUUAUUCACGAAACUUAAAUUUGAGCAAGGAAAGCAAGGAAACUCCAUCGGCCGCAGAAUUUAUUUACCGAGUUUGCUCAUUGACAGCUCGAACUUUAGGUAACGAUUUUUAACUAGUAUGCGAUCAUUUGCACUUAAUGUUAUCUGGAAGGGCAAGGGAUUGAUUAUGGCAAUUUCUAAGAAAGCACGAGGAGCUCACUUGGAAAACCUUCUGUUUUGCUUUUAGGGACAAGUAUGAUGAUGCAGACGAUGAUGUUGACUUAUGGAGGAGAAUUUCUAAACGUAAACAAGGAGAGAAUGAAUCUUUCGAUUCGUAUCAAGUUAGUAUGGAAGAACUAGUAAAUCGACUAGUGAGAUCUUUACCCGAACCGGACUUGGUUAAGCUGUUGAUAGAUAAUUCGAAAAGUUCCCUUCGACUUGAAUUACUUCACUUAAACAUAGUCUCAGUUAAAAAAUUGUACGCAGAAGUUAAGAAGCACGAAAAAUUCUAUAACGAAGUUCGACAUAAUUCAACUAAAACCUCAUUCGCAUAUCGACGUUAUAUUUCUGAUGUUAGUCAGGAACCAGAUAAUGUCGGAGAUUCGCAACCAAUAGUAUUAGCGAUCAAUCGUUUUAAAAUAACUUGCUGGAAUUGUGAAAAAGUACGACACCGUUGGGACGAUUGUUUUGACGUCAAGACCAUAUGUUGCUAUGGGUGUGGCACCAAGAAUAUCUAUAAGCCGAAUUGUCCGAAAUGUAAUCCUUUGGAAAACCGAUCGAAGGAUGUGUCGACCAGUCCACAGUAGGCACAUCCGAACACCAGCCGACGGCGACAUUUCUAUUGGAAGAAUCUUUUCAGGAAGUCGGACACGAAUCAAAAAACGUAAACACUUCGUCUUUACCUUUUCAUGAAAGAUGGUCUAAUUACAUGAAAGUUAGAAAUAAGAUAUUUGGAAAUAUAAGCAACAUUAUUAGAGCAGUUAAACCUAGAAGAUCCACUCUUCGUCUACGAAACUUCUGGAAGAAAAUAGUUCAUACUCGUAGGCUUUUGAUUUCUUCAUUACAGAGGAAGGGAGAUAAUCGCCUCUACACUUCCGUGGUCAUCAACGACAAGGAGUACAACGCCUUGUUAGACUCAGGAGCCACCGUUAGUUGCGUAGGUCAUGAUGCAGCUCAAUCGCUCUUGAGGUUCGUUAGUGUUCCGGAAAAGUUAAGCAAGUGGCAACCUUUGUCCCGUUAAAGGCAUAUUAACAUACAUAUCGGAAUAUUACCGAAAACAUAGACUUUUUCAUUAUACCCGACUUAAGUCAAGAAGUUUAUCUUGGAAUAGACUUCUUUAGAAAGUUUAAACUUGCAGAUAAGCUUGAGGAAAGCAUCAGUGAGUUAGAUUGUGGUCCUGCAGACGAAGAUAUGGAAUCACCAAAGUUACACAACCUUUCCAUUAGUGAUCAACGUAAGCUAAAAGCCGUGAUUGACAUUUUUCCCUCUUAUGAAAAAGAAGGCUUGGGGCGAACAAACCUCAUUUCUCACUCGAUUGACGUCGGCGAGGCUAAGGCUGUUAAACAAAGGCACUGGUCGAUCUCACCUGCACGGGAGAAAGUUAUGUUCGCCGAGAUAGACAAUAUGUUAGCUCUUGAUAUAAUCAAACCUUCUAGCAGUCCCUGGAGCAGCAAUUGCGUGAUUGUGCAAAAAGGAAGCAAGGUCGGUUAUGUUUGGACUCCCACGAAGUCAAUAAACAUACUAGGAAGGACGCGUACCCUUUACCUCAAAUUGAUGGGAUCCUGAGUCGCUUACCUCCUGCACGAUUUAUAACCGGUCUCGACAUGAAACAUGCUUUUUGGCAAAUAAUGUUAGAUGAGAAGUCGCCUCUUUACCAUUACAAAGUCAUGCCAUUUGGUCUUACUAACGCUCCACAGACAUUAUGCCGUCUAAUGUAUCAUGUCAUGCCCAUCUUCGCAACCGAGUUUUUGUAUACCUUGAUGACUUAUUAGACCUUUCCGAUGAUUUUGAUUCGCACUUGGUUAUUUUACAAGAAAUAGCACUUUAUUUACGGAAGGCCAAUAUAACCAUUAAUGUAGGAAAAUCUAAGUUCUCCAUGAGAGAAAUAAAAUACCUUGGACCGAUCCAUCAAAAAUUCAGGCUAUUAAUGAGUUUCCACUUUCAACAACAGUGAAACAAGUGCGUCGGUUCUUAGGCCUUUCCGGAUGGUAUCGGAGAUUUGUAGAUAUCUAUGCCACCAUAAGAUAUCUCCUGACAGAGAUGAUUAAAAAGAAUAAAACCUCGUUAGCCUGGGAUAGCGCUGCUAAAAACGCCUUUGAGGAAUUGAAACAUAGAUUAACAACCGCUCCUAUUCUGGUGACACCAAAUUUCUCAAAGCCAUUCGUUUUGUUGUGUGAUGCUAGUUCGUUCGGAUUGGGUUGCGUCCUCGCCCAACCAAAUGGGGAAGGGUGUGAGUGGCCAAUUGGGUACAUGUCAUGCAAGUUAUCCAAAGCACAACGAAAUUAUUCCGUACCGAACUGGAAUGUUUGGCUGUUAUUAAGGGAAUAAAGAAAUUUCGUGCGUACAUCGACGGUCAAGACUUCUUGGUAAUUACGGACCACGCAACACUUCAGUGGCUCAUGCGUCAAAAAGAUUUGUCAGGAAGGCUUGCCCGAUGGGCUAUCCAAUUGCAAGGUUUUGACUUUCGCAUAGAACAUUGCAAGGGUUCUCAAAAUGUCGUUGCUGACACGCUUUCAAGGCAGAACGAGUCAGUAGAGGAAUUCGAAGAAUUAGGUCCAAUUAUCGAUUUGGAAUCGGAAGAGUUUCGCUCGGUUGAGUAUUUAGACCUGAUUGAUCGCAUUCGUGCAAAUCAAGAAAAACUCUCUGAUCUUAAAGAGACAGACGGAUAUGUCUAUAUCUAUCUGACGAUAGUUUAUGCAAACUUUGGGUACCUUCAAAGUUAACCCAAAGUGUUCUUCAACAAGCUCAUGAUCCUCCAAGCGCAUCGCAUUGUGGCACAGGAAAAAUGAUUGAACAGCUUAAAAGGUAUCUGUUUUGGCUAAAAAUGCUUAUACAAAUUCGAGAGUAUGUAAAAGCCUGUUUGACCUGUAAGCAAACUAAGAGUCCGAACGUAGUUCUUUGUCCCCCGAUUGGAAAUCCUAGGCAAACAGAGAGAGAGACUGUAGAUGGAUUUGCUAGGUCCAUACCCUCGUUCGAAAUCAGGAAAUAUAGGAUUGUUGAUCAUAGUGGAUCAAUUUACUAGUUCCAUUUCCUCUGUCCCUUGAAAAAAUUUACAUCCGCCAAGAUAUGUGAAUACCUGAAGAAUUCAAUUUUGUUUACAUUCGGAGUACCAGAGUCAAUUUUAUCUGACAAUGAAUCUGAAUUUUGGUCCGGAUUUUUUGAAUCGUUUCUAACCCGAUAUUCAAUCAAGCAUAUAUGCACUGCUGUUUACUCUUCACAAAUUAACGCAAGCGAGAGAUUAAAUCGUUCGGUUUUAGCGGCGAUUUGGGCUUACGUGGGUACAGAUCAUACAACCUGGGAUCCGAAUUUGAAUGAGAUUAAUGGUGCUCUUCGAUCUAGUUUACACACCACGACGUGAUAUUCACUGUACUUUCUAACGUUCGGUCAAAACAUGAUCCUGAAUGGCAAGGAUUACGAACUGCUCAGAAAACUUAAUAUGAUUUCAGAUAAUGCGAGAAUACGGUAUCCCAAUGCGUUACAAAUGGCUAGGUACGCAGCACAGCUGAACACUGCCAAAUCUCACGAAGCCAACGCUAAAAUAUAUAACUUAAGAAGUCGAAAAAUCCAAUUUCAAGUCGGAGAUUAGGUUUAUGUUCGAAACUUUGCCCAAAGCAACGCUAGCAAACAAUUCAGCCAUAAACUAGCUAAAGUGUUCGUCCCCGCAACCAUAGCUAGAAAACUUGGUCCAGUAUAUCCUUUCUGGUGAAAAUGGAAAGAAAAUUGGCGUAUAUCACGCAAAAGAUAUUCAGACAAGGUAAUACACUUUCCUCUUUCAGAUUACGAUUCCGGUCGAAAACUUAGGAAGAAAACUUAGAAAAAAAAAGACUUAAAUUAUUAUCAUGUGUAAAGACUCAGCCAAGACCACUUUUCGGUAUACUUGAGUUAAUUGGAACCUCGCAAAAAUUCUGCGAGACAGAAUCCAAAAGACCUUGUUGUUCCUUUCGCACUUUAGCCGUCGCUCUCAUAGCCUGGAAAAGUACCGUUUAAGCUCGCUUGGCUCGUCGCCUCUGCAAAGAGUACAGCGAACACGCGAUCAUUCCGCGAUCUGAGACCACAGACGCGGAAGUGAAGUUAAAACACGUGCGGUCUUUAAAUAAAAGAAAGUGUAGAAAACCGGAGUGCAUAAAUCGCCACUCUUCGAUUCCUAAACUUUGUAAGAAGCGUACAUUGUAUUUGCAAGAGCAGGUAAAUAAGAACACGGCACACCGUUAUUUUGUGCAGAAACUGACGACGAGUUCUUUACAGAAUUGAGGUACUGUUGGCCGGCAAAGUUACGCGCCUAUGUGCAGCCAAGCCACGCGGUGUACAUAUAUAUUGGCGAGGGUGCGCAUUCGCUACACACAUAUGCAUACACAUAUUUAUGCAUAGACGGUGCCGACAGAGACCGAAAGCUGCCAAGAUUUAUUUUCUAUGCGAUCGUAACUGGCGCAAAGACUUGAUCUGCGAAUUAGAGACGAAAAAGACAAGGAAAAGGAAGCCAGAACACGUGGAGGAAUCAGAUGAAGUACAGUAGAUAACAGAAAAGUAGAGAAAAAAAUCGCCGUGAGUACGAAUACAUCGCUGAUAUAGGGUGCCUCAUGAACUCCGACCAAGGAGCUUAGAAAGAGAGAGAAAACGUGAAACGAAACGAACCAGUGAUGUUGCUGCUGCCUACGGUCGUAUAAGAAAACAAUAAACCUAAAUUCAGAAUAUUUUCGCUAAAUAUUAGAUUUAACUUAAUUCUAAACAUGCCUUAGAAAUGUAGAGAAAAAAAAAAAUAUAUAUAUAUGUACAUAUUGAAGAUAGCUUAAGCGGACAAGAAUAUUUGGGGUACGAAAUGAAAAGAAACUGAAAGCAAAAUAAUGAAUAAAGGAAAUUUAAAGAACUAAUUGAUAAUGAAGAUUGAAAGCAAUUGAAGAAGAAUCAAUAAACAAGAAGUGAAGAAAAAUAGUCGAACAAUAAUGGAUAUUGAAUUGAAUUGAAUACAUUUAGAUAUAUAAAUAUUAUUCUAACUCUACUCUAGCAAUGGUGACAAAUACCUUUACUUAGUAGUUCUACUUAAAUAUUAUCUUUUAAUUUUCUACAUAUAUACACCUAGGCACAUACACACAUAUCCACACUUUUUUAACCCGUAAUUUACAGCCAUGUAGCAGUUCAUUGGGCCCAACGAGCUUUUCGGCGACAGCCAUGAGGUAAUAAAUAAAUAAUUAAAUUUAGGUUUAAAAAUAUAAAUAGUACGGUAUAGGUAAAAUUUCUAGAGUAAAAGUUGAAAUUUCUUAAGAAGAAUAAGAUGAUCGAUAUUUAAAAAUUUAGUGUUGCACUUAUAGUAAAACCUAAAACGAAAACAUAAUAAAUAAAAACAAACCAUGAAUAUACUAAGAGACAAAGACAGUUAAAAGACUAAAAAUUAUGCCUAGAGAACGAAAUAAGAUGAAUAUGAAUAUUUUUUUUUGGUUUUGUGAGCUAUAUUAAUUUGAACUUAUAAUAUGAUUUUGUAAAUAAAUAAUAAUCUGUUCUAUUACAUAGUGCCAAUGAAAUAUCAAGAUUAAUGCGGUGAAUUAAUUUAGUCUAGGGGAAAUGUACACCAGGUUCCACACAUUUCCAAAGGUAUGUCUCCGCCACUCUGUCGGUUUUGUCUUGCGUCGAUCUCUAGUAUCAGCCGUGCUUUGUCUAACCGCUUAACAUUCCACCCUUUUCUUAUCGGUGCUACUGUAGUUAUUGCGUUUUCUGCUAUGUUAAACGUUAUAUAGUUAUGGUCACUUCCGUUGUAGAUGUCAAGAACUUUCCAGUCUGUGAUUUUGUGUGCUCCGUUUUCUGACACUAGUGUUAUGUCAGGGAUCGUACCCUCGUUCCCUAGUCGAUUGAAUGUUGCUGUUGCUCCUACAUUUGCAGUGAGUAUUCCGAUUCUUGCUUCCAUAUUUAGCACUCUACGGCCUCGAGAGUCGGUUGAUGACAUACCCCAUUCUAUAGCUCUUGAGUUAAAGUCACCUGCUAUUAUAAGGUCGCCUCUUAGUUGCCUUGCGUUGUCUUCAAUACAUUCAAGUUUCGUCUGGAAAGUCUAAAUAUCGUCACUUGGGGUCAAGUAGCAGCUAGCUAUCGUCCAGUUUCUGAUUUGUGUUAGGACAUCUCAUCUUCCUCUUUUGUCGUUUCUUUGUGGAACCGUAGUAGGGUCGGGGAUCCCUCCCUCCCGUCUCUUAUUGGUUUUUAUUUGGUUUUCUAGCACAAUUUGGUGCAGCAGGUCAUUUGCCGUUCUGCUUCUAUGCAUAUUAGCUUGAAGAAUCUUCAUGGCUUUCCUUUUCUGGUUACGCUAGAGCAGUUCGCUGUCCCAGGGAGGUGUCCAACGUCGCUCUUGUUCUCCGAUGCACAGAUACAACAUCUCGGUGCCUUUGUGCAAGUCUUCAUUUUAUGUCCGCUUUCACCACAUCUGAUGCAGAGGUCCCUCCUAUCCGGUCCUUUGCAGUUAUUUUGCAAAUGUCCGACCCCGAAACACUUAAAGCAUCUCUUUAUGUCAAGACACCGCUUAACCCGGCAGCUGGUCUAUCCUAUUUUUAUUCUCUGUUCCGCCAAUAUCUUUGACGCGUCCCUCAUGGGUAGUGUAACAAAGGCUCGCCUUUGUUUUGACCUAUUUACUCCUGUCAGGUGUAUUACAAUUUCUUGGUUUGUAUCGCCUGUUCCUUCUCUUAUUGCUGAAAUUAUUUCAUCCUCUUGUGUGAUGCUGUCGAAAUCUCUGAUUUCCAGUUUGACCAAUUGCUUCAUGGUCUUCACUGUAGCACACUCUUUGAGUGUAUCCUUGAUGUCUUCGCACAGUUUGUCCGUUUUGCAUCCUUUUGAAAGUUGCAGAAGCAUAUUACCUGACUUGGUUUUUCUAACCGACUUUAUAUAACUGUCGGAAUUCUCUGGUUUCAGGUUUUUUCGCAGGUUGCACAACACCCCGGCAUAGCUCUUUCUCUCUGCUGGUCUGACUAGCACAGCUUCAGGGCGAGUGCGCGUUCUUGCGCUAGGCUCGUUUUUUGUUUUCUCAGCUCCACUAAAGUGUUGCUUUCCUUUUUCCCCUUCUUAUAUGUGACCGUUUGAAAUCCGACAUUUGUCUGCUUAUUUCGGACUUUCUUGCUCGGCUCUUGCGCAGCCGGGCUAGUGGCCGUCCUCUUCUUGAGUGUCGAAACUGGUGUUUCGCUCAAUAAAUUGCCGGAUGUAUUGUCUUUGGCCUUCCUCGAGCCUUUGAGCGCUCUAGUUCAGCAGCUUUCCAGCUCGAUCGGCAAUUUUUUACGACAUCAAAAUGCUCACUCUUUUCUGAGGUGCCAUCCUUGACGUCCAUGCUGAUGUUCCGUUGCUUUUGCAUUGCUAUCUUGAUUUUCCUUAGAAUAUCUUUGCAUUGCGAUAAGGCCUUCUCUUCUAACGCCUGCAUCUUAUAUAUAAGCUCCUGUCGUGGGGAGCAUGACGUCGAGGUCUGUGCGAACAGGGCAGUCGGUUGCGGCGGGUUGGGGGUUAUUUCACCUUCGGCCUCUGUUUUGUCCUUGUCAACAUCGUUAGGGCUUGGGUGGGUCAUCGUCGUCGCGUUGUUGUCCGGUGUUCUUCCUGAAUACGUAUCCUUCAUUGUCCUUGUUUCGUUGUGUGUUGAUCAUCUUGUGUGAGUUGGUCCAAACUCUAGGCCGCCUCGGGACUUAGCGUUCCCUGAACGCUUUCUGCAACGAUUACGCCGUGGCUGCAGUACCAAAAACAUAUUGUUUCCAUGCUUCGACCUUGGCAAUGGUCCGACAAAGUCGGCACACACUGUCCCCAGGGCGUUUCCGGGAUCUGCGUCAACAUUGAACAUUGCUUAUUCGCAUUAUUUUCAAACGUUCUUUCUAACGUCUCUCUGCAUUGCUAGCCAAUAGUACCGGGCUGCCAGCCGUGGCUGCCUCGCCAACGCAUCUGAAACUUCGUUUAAUUGACCCCCUCUGUUCACGCCAGAAGGGCGCAAACAACUGAGCGGCAGUGUAAGCAGUAAGCUCCUCCACGGCUCGCAAGCACCGCUGCUCGCGCUCUCCUUCUCUCCUCGCGCUCUCCUUCUCUCCUCGCGCUCUCCUUCUUUCCUCGCGCUCUCCCUCUCUCCUCUCGAUCUAUUCACCACUAUGCGGUACUCAAAAUGUUAGUUUUAAGUUAGUCUCAAUUUACAAGUGCGAUAAUAAAGUGCAAAAUUGAAGUCGAUCCCGUGACUUUUUCAUUUCUGGAGGAAAUUAUCAGCAGCAGCCGCAACAGCAACAACAACGACGUCAGAAGCCAAACUAUCUUGGACACCAAAUCCGCCCACUCCACUUCAUGGUCCUUCGAGCCGGAUCGGGAAAUGACAAUCCUAGGAGUUGUCUUCGAACUAGUCCCAGGGUCAAAACCGCGACUCCCACUCCGAAAGCAAAGGUUUUGCCAUCGACUAGUUCGAAAACAACUCCUAGGAUUGUCAUUUCCCGACCAGUGCCGCGAGCGUCUAGUGAGUCUUCUCUAUCGAGAAAAUCCGAGAGUCCCUCCGCUGUCGGGACUGAUUUCCUCCGCGUCACACGCUCUACCACAAAGAAAAUGGCAUCCUCUGAGCAGCCAACGCCCGCAACCGCAGCGUUGCAUAUUAAUGAGUUUCCACUUUCAACAACAGUGAAACAAGUGCGUCGGUUCUUAGGCCUUUCCGGAUGGUAUCGGAGAUUUGUAGAUAUCUAUGCCACCAUAAGAUAUCUCCUGACAGAGAUGAUUAAAAAGAAUAAAACCUCGUUAGCCUGGGAUAGCGCUGCUAAAAACGCCUUUGAGGAAUUGAAACAUAGAUUAACAACCGCUCCUAUUCUGGUGACACCAAAUUUCUCAAAGCCAUUCGUUUUGUUGUGUGAUGCUAGUUCGUUCGGAUUGGGUUGCGUCCUCGCCCAACCAAAUGGGGAAGGGUGUGAGUGGCCAAUUGGGUACAUGUCAUGCAAGUUAUCCAAAGCACAACGAAAUUAUUCCGUACCGAACUGGAAUGUUUGGCUGUUAUUAAGGGAAUAAAGAAAUUUCGUGCGUACAUCGACGGUCAAGACUUCUUGGUAAUUACGGACCACGCAACACUUCAGUGGCUCAUGCGUCAAAAAGAUUUGUCAGGAAGGCUUGCCCGAUGGGCUAUCCAAUUGCAAGGUUUUGACUUUCGCAUAGAACAUUGCAAGGGUUCUCAAAAUGUCGUUGCUGACACGCUUUCAAGGCAGAACGAGUCAGUAGAGGAAUUCGAAGAAUUAGAUCCAAUUAUCGAUUUGGAAUCGGAAGAGUUUCGCUCGGUUGAGUAUUUAGACCUGAUUGAUCGCAUUCGUGCAAAUCAAGAAAAACUCUCUGAUCUUAAAGAGACAGACGGAUAUGUCUAUAUCUAUCUGACGAUAGUUUAUGCAAACUUUGGGUACCUUCAAAGUUAACCCAAAGUGUUCUUCAACAAGCUCAUGAUCCUCCAAGCGCAUCGCAUUGUGGCACAGGAAAAAUGAUUGAACAGCUUAAAAGGUAUCUGUUUUGGCUAAAAAUGCUUAUACAAAUUCGAGAGUAUGUAAAAGCCUGUUUGACCUGUAAGCAAACUAAGAGUCCGAACGUAGUUCUUUGUCCCCCGAUUGGAAAUCCUAGGCAAACAGAGGGAGAGACUGUAGAUGGAUUUGCUAGGUCCAUACCCUCGUUCGAAAUCAGGAAAUAUAGGAUUGUUGAUCAUAGUGGAUCAAUUUACUAGUUCCAUUUCCUCUGUCCCUUGAAAAAAUUUACAUCCGCCAAGAUAUGUGAAUACCUAAAGAAUUCAAUUUUGUUUACAUUCGGAGUACCAGAGUCAAUUUUAUCUGACAAUGAAUCUGAAUUUUGGUCCGGAUUUUUUGAAUCGUUUCUAACCCGAUAUUCAAUCAAGCAUAUAUGCACUGCUGUUUACUCUUCACAAAUUAACGCAAGCGAGAGAUUAAAUCGUUCGGUUUUAGCGGCGAUUUGGGCUUACGUGGGUACAGAUCAUACAACCUGGGAUCAGAAUUUGAAUGAGAUUAAUGGUGCUCUUCGAUCUAGUUUACACACCACGACGUGAUAUUCACUGUACUUUCUAACGUUCGGUCAAAACAUGAUCCUGAAUGGCAAGGAUUACGAACUGCUCAGAAAACUUAAUAUGAUUUCAGAUAAUGCGAGAAUACGGUAUCCCAAUGCGUUACAAAUGGCUAGGUACGCAGCACAGCUGAACACUGCCAAAUCUCACGAAGCCAACGCUAAAAUAUAUAACUUAAGAAGUCGAAAAAUCCAAUUUCAAGUCGGAGAUUAGGUUUAUGUUCGAAACUUUGCCCAAAGCAACGCUAGCAAACAAUUCAGCCAUAAACUAGCUAAAGUGUUCGUCCCCGCAACCAUAGCUAGAAAACUUGGUCCAGUAUAUCCUUUCUGGUGAAAAUGGAAAGAAAAUUGGCGUAUAUCACGCAAAAGAUAUUCAGACAAGGUAAUACACUUUCCUCUUUCAGAUUACGAUUCCGGUCGAAAACUUAGGAAGAAAACUUAGAAAAAAAAGACAUCAAUUAUUAUCAUGUGUAAAGACUCAGCCAAGACCACUUUUCGGUAUACUUGAGUUAAUUGGAACCUCGCAAAAAUUCUGCGAGACAGAAUCCAAAAGACCUUGUUGUUCCUUUCGCACUUUAGCCGUCGCUCUCAUAGCCUGGAAAAGUACCGUUUAAGCUCGCUUGGCUCGUCGCCUCUGCAAAGAGUACAGCGAACACGCGAUCAUUCCGCGAUCUGAGACCACAGACGCGGAAGUGAAGUUAAAACACGUGCGGUCUUUAAAUAAAAGAAAGUGUAGAAAACCGGAGUGCAUAAAUCGCCACUCUUCGAUUCCUAAACUUUGUAAGAAGCGUACAUUGCAUUUGCAAGAGCAGGUAAAUAAGAACACGGCACACCGUUAUUUUGUGCAGAAACUGACGACGAGUUCUUUACGGAAUUGAGGUACUGUUGGCCGGCAAAGUUACGCGCCUAUGUGCAGCCAAGCCACGCGGUGUACAUAUAUAUUGGCGAGGGUGCGCAUUCGCUACACACAUAUGCAUACACAUAUUUAUGCAUAGACGGUGCCGACAGAGACCGAAAGCUGCCAAGAUUUAUUUUCUAUGCGAUCGUAACUGGCGCAAAGACUUGAUCUGCGAAUUAGAGACGAAAAAGACAAGGAAAAGGAAGCCAGAACACGUGGAGGAAUCAGAUGAAGUACAGUAGAUAACAGAAAAGUAGAGAAAAAAAAUCGCCGUGAGUACGAAAACAUCGCUGAUAUAGGGUGCCUCAUGAACUCCGACCAAGGAGCUUAGAAAGAGAGAGAAAACGUGAAACGAAACGAACCAGUGAUGUUGCUGCUGCCUACGGUCGUAUAAGAAAACAAUAAACCUAAAUUCAGAAUAUUUUCGCUAAAUAUUAGAUUUAACUUAAUUCUAAACAUGCCUUAGAAAUGUAGAGAAAAAUAUAUAUAUAUAUAUAUAUGUACAUAUUGAAGAUAGCUUAAGCGGACAAGAAUAUUUGGGGUACGAAAUGAAAAGAAACUGAAAUUGAAGCAAAAUAAUGAAUAAAGGAAAUUUAAAGAACUAAUUGAUAAUGAAGAUUGAAAGCAAUUGAAGAAGAAUCAAUAAACAAGAAGUGAAGAAAAAUAGUCGAACAAUAAUGGAUAUUGAAUUGAAUUGAAUACAUUUAGAUAUAUAAAUAUUAUUCUAACUUUACUCUAGCAAUGGUGACAAAUACCUUUACUUAGUAGUUCUACUUAAAUAUUAUCUUUUAAUUUUCUACAUAUAUACACCUAGGCACAUACACACAUAUCCACACUUUUUUAACCCGUAAUUUACAGCCAUGUAGCAGUUCAUUGGGCCCAACGAGCUUUUCGGCGACAGCCAUGAGGUAAUAAAUAAAUAAUUAAAUUUAGGUUUAAAAAUAUAAAUAGUACGGUAUAGGUAAAAUUUCUAGAGUAAAAGUUGAAAUUUCUUAAGAAGAAUAAGAUGAUCGAUAUUUAAAAAUUUAGUGUUGCACUUAUAGUAAAACCUAAAACGAAAACAUAAUAAAUAAAAACAAACCAUGAAUAUACUAAGAGACAAAGACAGUUAAAAGACUAAAAAUUAUGCCUAGAGAACGAAAUAAGAUGAAUAUGAAUAUUUUUUUUUGGUUUUGUGAGCUAUAUUAAUUUGAACUUAUAAUAUGAUUUUGUAAAUAAAUAAUAAUCUGUUCUAUUACAUAGUGCCAAUGAAAUAUCAAGAUUAAUGCGGUGAAUUAAUUUAGUCUAGGGGAAAUGUACACCAGGUUCCACACAUUUCCAAAGGUAUGUCUCCGCCACUCUGUCGGUUUUGUCUUGCGUCGAUCUCUAGUAUCAGCCGUGCUUUGUCUAACCGCUUAACAUUCCACCCUUUUCUUAUCGGUGCUACUGUAGUUAUUGCGUUUUCUGCUAUGUUAAACGUUAUAUAGUUAUGGUCACUUCCGUUGUAGAUGUCAAGAACUUUCCAGUCUGUGAUUUUGUGUGCUCCGUUUUCUGACACUAGUGUUAUGUCAGGGAUCGUACCCUCGUUCCCUAGUCGAUUGAAUGUUGCUGUUGCUCCUACAUUUGCAGUGAGUAUUCCGAUUCUUGCUUCCAUAUUUAGCACUCUACGGCCUCGAGAGUCGGUUGAUGACAUACCCCAUUCUAUAGCUCUUGAGUUAAAGUCACCUGCUAUUAUAAGGUCGCCUCUUAGUUGCCUUGCGUUGUCUUCAAUACAUUCAAGUUUCGUCUGGAAAGUCUAAAUAUCGUCACUUGGGGUCAAGUAGCAGCUAGCUAUCGUCCAGUUUCUGAUUUGUGUUAGGACAUCUCAUCUUCCUCUUUUGUCGUUUCUUUGUGGAACCGUAGUAGGGUCGGGGAUCCCUCCCUCCCGUCUCUUAUUGGUUUUUAUUUGGUUUUCUAGCACAAUUUGGUGCAGCAGGUCAUUUGCCGUUCUGCUUCUAUGCAUAUUAGCUUGAAGAAUCUUCAUGGCUUUCCUUUUCUGGUUACGCUAGAGCAGUUCGCUGUCCCAGGGAGGUGUCCAACGUCGCUCUUGUUCUCCGAUGCACAGAUACAACAUCUCGGUGCCUUUGUGCAAGUCUUCAUUUUAUGUCCGCUUUCACCACAUCUGAUGCAGAGGUCCCUCCUAUCCGGUCCUUUGCAGUUAUUUUGCAAAUGUCCGACCCCGAAACACUUAAAGCAUCUCUUUAUGUCAAGACACCGCUUAACCCGGCAGCUGGUCUAUCCUAUUUUUAUUCUCUGUUCCGCCAAUAUCUUUGACGCGUCCCUCAUGGGUAGUGUAACAAAGGCUCGCCUUUGUUUUGACCUAUUUACUCCUGUCAGGUGUAUUACAAUUUCUUGGUUUGUAUCGCCUGUUCCUUCUCUUAUUGCUGAAAUUAUUUCAUCCUCUUGUGUGAUGCUGUCGAAAUCUCUGAUUUCCAGUUUGACCAAUUGCUUCAUGGUCUUCACUGUAGCACACUCUUUGAGUGUAUCCUUGAUGUCUUCGCACAGUUUGUCCGUUUUGCAUCCUUUUGAAAGUUGCAGAAGCAUAUUACCUGACUUGGUUUUUCUAACCGACUUUAUAUAACUGUCGGAAUUCUCUGGUUUCAGGUUUUUUCGCAGGUUGCACAACACCCCGGCAUAGCUCUUUCUCUCUGCUGGUCUGACUAGCACAGCUUCAGGGCGAGUGCGCGUUCUUGCGCUAGGCUCGUUUUUUGUUUUCUCAGCUCCACUAAAGUGUUGCUUUCCUUUUUCCCCUUCUUAUAUGUGACCGUUUGAAAUCCGACAUUUGUCUGCUUAUUUCGGACUUUCUUGCUCGGCUCUUGCGCAGCCGGGCUAGUGGCCGUCCUCUUCUUGAGUGUCGAAACUGGUGUUUCGCUCAAUAAAUUGCCGGAUGUAUUGUCUUUGGCCUUCCUCGAGCCUUUGAGCGCUCUAGUUCAGCAGCUUUCCAGCUCGAUCGGCAAUUUUUUACGACAUCAAAAUGCUCACUCUUUUCUGAGGUGCCAUCCUUGACGUCCAUGCUGAUGUUCCGUUGCUUUUGCAUUGCUAUCUUGAUUUUCCUUAGAAUAUCUUUGCAUUGCGAUAAGGCCUUCUCUUCUAACGCCUGCAUCUUAUAUAUAAGCUCCUGUCGUGGGGAGCAUGACGUCGAGGUCUGUGCGAACAGGGCAGUCGGUUGCGGCGGGUUGGGGGUUAUUUCACCUUCGGCCUCUGUUUUGUCCUUGUCAACAUCGUUAGGGCUUGGGUGGGUCAUCGUCGUCGCGUUGUUGUCCGGUGUUCUUCCUGAAUACGUAUCCUUCAUUGUCCUUGUUUCGUUGUGUGUUGAUCAUCUUGUGUGAGUUGGUCCAAACUCUAGGCCGCCUCGGGACUUAGCGUUCCCUGAACGCUUUCUGCAACGAUUACGCCGUGGCUGCAGUACCAAAAACAUAUUGUUUCCAUGCUUCGACCUUGGCAAUGGUCCGACAAAGUCGGCACACACUGUCCCCAGGGCGUUUCCGGGAUCUGCGUCAACAUUGAACAUUGCUUAUUCGCAUUAUUUUCAAACGUUCUUUCUAACGUCUCUCUGCAUUGCUAGCCAAUAGUACCGGGCUGCCAGCCGUGGCUGCCUCGCCAACGCAUCUGAAACUUCGUUUAAUUGACCCCCUCUGUUCACGCCAGAAGGGCGCAAACAACUGAGCGGCAGUGUAAGCAGUGUAAAGCUCCUCCACGGCUCGCAAGCACCGCUGCUCGCGCUCUCCUUCUCUCCUCG